rnacentral:tRNA from 1 species
GACCCGUUAGCUCAGGCGGUAGAGCAUUUGACUUUUAAUCAAAGGGUCGGGCGUUCGAGUCGCCCACGGGUCACCA